GGUAUCCACUUAUAAGUGAGUAUAUACCAUGUCUGUCUUUCUGCUUCUGGGAGAAAAGGACGACAUUCACUGAGUAGAGGAGGACCGAUCUUAGGUCAAGGGUAUAAGAGUAGCUGUGCUCCCCUGGUAGAACCUCAAACAAGCUCAAGGUCUUUUUAUUUCUUUCAGUCACUAUCAUGAUAACAGGCAGAAAGAUAUUUGCUACUCAUUUUAGUGUUUAGAUUAU
rnacentral:snRNA from 1 species